UCAUAUGAAUGAGCAAAGAAAGUUUUCUUCAGAUAGAAUGUACUCCUGGUAAAGUUGCCAUGAG
rnacentral:pre_miRNA from 1 species